rnacentral:rRNA from 1 species
AUUGAACGCUGGCGGCAGGCCUAACACAUGCAAGUCGAACGGUAACAGGAAACAGCUUGCUGUUUCGCUGACGAGUGGCGGACGGGUGAGUAAUGUCUGGGAAACUGCCUGAUGGAGGGGGAUAACUACUGGAAACGGUAGCUAAUACCGCAUAACGUCGCAAGACCAAAGAGGGGGACCCUCGGGCCUCUUGCCAUCGGAUGUGCCCAGAUGGGAUUAGCUUGUUGGUGGGGUAACGGCUCACCAAGGCGACGAUCCCUAGCUGGUCUGAGAGGAUGACCAGCCACACUAGAAGUGAGACACGGUCCAGACUCCUACGGGAGGCAGCAGUGGGGAAUAUUGCACAGAGGGCGCAAGCCUGAUGCAGUCAUGCCGCGUGUAUGAAGAAGGCCUUCGGGUUGUAAAGUACGUUCAGCGGGGAGGAAGGGAGUAAAGUUAAUACCUUUGCUCAUUGACGUUACCCGCAGAAGAAGCACCGGCUAACUCCGCG